ACGAAGUUAGCCGGGGCUUAUUCUGCGGGUACCGUCAUUAUCGUCCCCGCCAAAAGAGUUUUACAACCCUAAGGCCUUCGUCACUCACGCGGCAUGGCUGGAUCAGGCUUUCGCCCAUUGUCCAAUAUUCCCC
rnacentral:rRNA from 1 species